GACGAACGCUGGCGGCGUGCUUAACACAUGCAAGUCGAACGGAAAGGCCCUGCUUUUGUGGGGUGCUCGAGUGGCGAACGGGUGAGUAACACGUGAGUAACCUGCCCUUGACUUUGGGAUAACUUCAGGAAACUGGGGCUAAUACCGGAUAGGAGCUCCUGCUGCAUGGUGGGGGUUGGAAAGUUUCGGCGGUUGGGGAUGGACUCGCGGCUUAUCAGCUUGUUGGUGGGGUAGUGGCAUACCAAGGCUUUGACGGGUAGCCGGCCUGAGAGGGUGACCGGCCACAUUGGGACUGAGAUGCGGCACAGACUCCUACGGGAGGCAGCAGUGGGGAAUAGUGCACAAUGGGCGGAAGCCUGAUGCAGCAACGCCGCGUGCGGGAUAACGGCCUUCGGGUUGUAAACCGCUUUCGCCUGUGACGAAGCGUGAGUGACGGUAAUGGGUAAAGAAGCACCGGCUAACUACGUG
rnacentral:rRNA from 1 species